rnacentral:rRNA from 1 species
ACGGAAGGCAGCAGUGGGGAAUAUUGCACAAUGGGGGAAACCCUGAUGCAGCGACGCCGCGUGAGCGAAGAAGUAUUUCGGUAUGUAAAGCUCUAUCAGCAGGGAAGAAACAAGACGGUACCUGACUAAGAAGCCCCGGCUAACUACGUGCCAGCAGCCGCGGUAAUACGUAGGGGGCAAGCGUUAUCCGGAUUUACUGGGUGUAAAGGGAGCGCAGGCGGAAGGCUAAGUCUGAUGUGAAAACCCGGAGCUCAACUGCGGGAUUGCAUUGGAAACUGGUCGUCUUGAGUGUCGGAGGGGCAAGCGGAAUUCCUAGUGUAGCGGUGAAAUGCGUAGAUAUUAGGAGGAACACCGGUGGCGAAGGCGGCUUGCUGGACGACAACUGACGCUGAGGCUCGAAAGCGUGGGGAGCAAACAGGAUUAGAUACCCUGGUA